ensembl:lncRNA
CAGCUUUGUCCCGAGCAGGCAGCUGGCUGUGCUGCUAUUGGUGGGAAGUGAUCUGUUUGCACUGACUCAGGGCUAAAAGGGAACCCAGAGAUGAUCUGGUCCUUCCUCUGGCUGUGAGGCCGGACUGGCACUUUGCACGGCUGUUACAUCUGGCAGCCAGAGAUCCCGUCUGUGAGACCCAAGUUAAGCUGUCUAUCCUAAAUUAGGAGACCUGUUAGGUUUCAUUGUGUGCAGCGGCGGUUUGAUGACCAAUUGUUUUUCAGCUUUUAAACUACGGCAGUUUAUUCAAACAGUAUGAUUCUGAGAAAAUGUAGAAUAUUACAUGAGGAAUUCAUCGUCAAUGUGGUGGCUUGAUUUUUACUAAUGCAGUUUCCUCUUUUUAUUUUCCAGUUGCAUUCUUCAAAGUCUCUGCUACCUCCUGCAGCAGCUUUGCUAGGACAGAAACAUUAAAAUCUAUCACUUGGAUUCCUUAGCUGUACGACUGCAGUGUAUGUAGGACUUCAAAAUAGAUAAGGCAGACCUCAAUAGAACAGGAGUAAAUUCUUUCCAAAUGGCUCAAAGGCACGAAGCUGCACACUGGGCAAGAAAACAGAGCUGAUGAUAGGACUCCUUCUGGCAGCACAGCUAGGUCUGGUGGGAGAACACGCGUUUCCCAUGUCAUGGUGAGAUACACAACUGGAUGACAAAGGAGGGAGACUGAAGACACAAGAGGUACGUUUUUACCCAUCUUUUAGAGUUCAUUGUACAUUGCAGCCUCUGUGACUGUGUAGCCGACUAAACAUUAACACUCAUUCACUUUAAGGGAGAUGCAAAAGUGAGUCAGUUAAGGAUCCUUUCGUAUGUACUUAAUGAUAUGUAAUUCAUUUUCAUUGUUUUAACUAGGUGCUGUCCCCAUUUUAUGACUGCAGUA